rnacentral:sRNA from 1 species
UAUCUAACGCCACGGCUCUCCAGCCGACC